CCGGCUUUGGCGCAAUGGUAGCGCGAUUGACUGUAGAUCAAUCGGUUGCUAGUUCGAAUCUGGCAAGCCGGA